AUUUGGCCUAAAUUCCAUGUCAUCUUCUCUUCCGGAACUCAAUCUCGCAGCCUCCACUUUUCAGAGCUUCAUCUCUUCGCCUCCCAUUCGUAUCUCUUAAGCUUCCCUGUUUUAAUUAUGCCACAAUUACUGCUUCUGAUCGCUUUCGUCUUCAUCGCCGUCUUCAACCUCUUAACGAUCGGACCAACCACUUUCAGCGUUUUCCAAGUAUUCUAUUGACUACAGCUGAAACCGAUCUCCACCAAAGUAAAAUCAGUGUCUCUCUUAAGCUAUGAAGAUUUGGGUCUUGAAGGAAUCAAACAAAGAGUUAAGUUUGUUUUUAUUUUCAACUUUCGAUUCCUUAUUCUGUCAUUAUGAUUAGACUUAGCUAAGAUUUGUGCUUGAUCCGUAUUCCUACAAUGUUACCAUGACUGAAAACCUGGCGGCUGAGAAUGAAAGGAUGAAUGAUGUCGCAAAGAUCAAAGUUGUUAUGCCUAAGUGACUACUUUAAAAAAAAAAGUAUUCAGCAAAAAAACGAGGAAGACGUUGUUGACACAAAUUCCAAUUGCUUAACAGUUCAUGAAACCAAACUUAAGCUCAGUCUCUCAUGUUUUGGGUUGAGUUGACUAGCCUAUGUUAGCAUGAACCUGUGUUUGAUGCUGUGCUAGAUGAGGAAGUAUCAAAUGGUGAGGUGGCUGAUAUAUGAAAGACAUGAUCAACACUUAUCUGGAGUUUAUCGUGAGGCAGUGGAUCCCCUAAAUUUUCAGUGCAUUAAUGCCACUUGCUUGGCAUAUAGGCAGACAGGUAGUUGUAAAACCUAAACUAUGAAGCCUUUGCCUCUUUAAGUCUUCAAGGGAUAUCCUAAGGUCGGUGCAAAAUGCAUACAGAACCAAUUGUUUGGUAUAAACCAUAUCGGUUCUUCUCCGGUAUGUGACUUAUCCUACAAAGCUGUGUUACCCGAAAUCCGAGAUGUGCAAGAGCGAUUUAACGUGUACCGCAUGGAUUAUAACUGUUGAGUUUUUAGUCUAUCACCUCUUCUUUGACUUGAAACUUUAAGGUGGUCUUCUUCUGCUGAAAGUUCAGACACUAAGCCAACUGAGUAAAGAAAGAACUAAAGAAAGGUAUCAGAAGAGCAAGGAGCGCCAGAAAGUCAUUAUUUUGCUUCAGUUAAGAGUUCCAUACAAAUAAUAAUUUAGGAUCUUUUCUGGUUCCCUUUACUCUCUAAAAACCCACUGCACAUGUACAUGUAGAAAAGGCAACUCCACAAAUGGUUACUCUAUCAAAUAUUGUAAUACUUUAACUCUCACAAACCUAUUAACGAUGAUUCUUAUAGAUACAUCCAUUUUUAUUGGCCU